rnacentral:ncRNA from 2 species
CGACAGAACUCUGGAGAGAUCCCAUAAUGGGGCGCCGAAGGGGCAAAGCGACAGUAAUUAGCAGAAUCUCUCAGGCAAAAGGACAGAGGAUUCAGG